AGAGUUUGAUCAUGGCUCAGGACGAACGCUUGCGGCGUGCCUAAGAAAUGCAAGUCGAACGGGCAUUGACUUCGGUCGGUGUCAGUGGCGAACGGUCGCGUAACACGUAAGCAACCUGCCCGGAAGUGGGGGAUAACGGCCCGAAAGGGCCGCUAAUACCGCAUGUGGUCAAGUCGGGGCAUCCCGUCUUGUCUAAAGAUUCAUCGCUUCCGGAUGGGCUUGCGGCCUAUCAGGUAGUUGGUGGGGUGACGGCCUACCAAGCCGACGACGGGUAGCUGGUCUGAGAGGACGAUCAGCCGGAUUGGGACUGAGAUACGGCCCAGACUCCUACGGGGGGCAGCAAUUAGGAAUCUUGCGCAAUGGGCGAAAGCCUGACGCAGCGACGCCGCGUGCGGGACGAAGGCCUUCGGGUCGUAAACCGCUUUUUCGGGGGAAGAAGAAUGUGACGGUACCCCGAGAAUAAGCCCCGGCUAACUACGUGCCAGCAGCCGCGGUA
rnacentral:rRNA from 1 species